CAGAGUUUUAUUUUUUAUUCUCUUCUUCGUCCUUUAGUGUCUCCCGCCGCUUCCCUUAACCUCUAUUUAUUCAAUCCCCAAAUUGAAAUUAGGUCACUAUUCUCCCCUCUUAUCUCCACUGUAGACAAAACAAAGGAGUAGGUCUGUGCUAAAUGAGUGAAAACCAGGACAUCCCUUGCCCGAUUGGGGUUGUUUCUGACGCUGAGAGUGAUCCACCUGAAAAUGAACCUGAUGAUACCCAGAUGCAUUUGUCGAUGUCGACUGGAAGCAAGAAAAGAAGCCGGGAAAUCGAUGACUCAGUGGAGGCUAAAGGAAAAGCCCCCAAGAAAUGGACAUCGGGAAAAGAAGCUUUAAACUCCCUAUUUAUUCUAAAUAUUUUUUAUCACACUGAAAUUAUCUCAUUAAUCAGUUAAUAAUAUAUUAAAAUUUUAUUUUCUUAACAAAUUGUGUGGUGGUUUAGUAAUUAGUUUAUGCAAAUACAGUAUUGAAAUAUGAAUGCUUUGAAUUAACGUUUAUCUAU